rnacentral:rRNA from 1 species
AUUAAACGCUGGCGGCAUGCCUUACACAUGCAAGUCGAACGGCAGCACGGGAGCAAUCCUGGUGGCGAGUGGCGAACGGGUGAGUAAUAUAUCGGAACGUGCCCAGUCGUGGGGGAUAACGUAGCGAAAGCUACGCUAAUACCGCAUACGAUCUAUGGAUGAAAGCGGGGGAUCGCAAGACCUCGCGCGAUUGGAGCGGCCGAUAUCAGAUUAGGUAGUUGGUGGGGUAAAGGCUCACCAAGCCGACGAUCUGUGGCUGGUCUGAGAGGACGACCGGCCACACUGGGACUGGGACACGGCCCAGACUCCUACGGGAGGCAGCAGUGGGGAAUUUUGGACAAUGGGCGCAAGCCUGAUCCAGCAAUGCCGCGUGCAGGAUGAAGGCCUUCGGGUUGUAAACUGCUUUUGUACGGAGCGAAAAGGCUUCCACUAAUACUGGGGGCUCAUGACGGUACCGUAAGAAUAAGCACCGGCUAACUACGUGCCAGCCGCCGCCGUAAUAC